rnacentral:rRNA from 1 species
CAGUCGCCACGGUAAAACGUAGGGUGCAAGCGUUAAUCGGAAUUACUGGGCGUAAAGCGUGCGCAGGCGGUUAUAUAAGACAGAUGUGAAAUCCCCGGGCUCAACCUGGGAACUGCAUUUGUGACUGUAUAGCUAGAGUACGGCAGAGGGGGAUGGAAUUCCGCGUGUAGCAGUGAAAUGCGUAGAUAUGCGGAGGAACACCGAUGGCGAAGGCAAUCCCCUGGGCCUGUACUGACGCUCAUGCACGAAAGCGUGGGGAGCAAACAGGAUUAGAUAACCCCGUAGUCCCUGUCUCUUAUAC